rnacentral:rRNA from 1 species
UACGUAGGGAGCAAGCGUUGUCCGGAAUCAUUGGGCGUAAAGCGCGCGUAGGUGGCCUCGUAAGUCCGCUGUGAAAGUCCAAGGCUCAACCUUGGAAAGCCGGUGGAUACUGUGAGGCUAGAGUACGGAAGAGGCGAGUGGAAUUCCUGGUGUAGCGGUGGAAUGCGCAGAUAUCAGGAGGAACACCAAUAGCGAAGGCAGCUCGCUGGGACGUUACUGACACUGAGACGCGAAAGCGUGGGGAGCGAACAGG